rnacentral:rRNA from 1 species
AUUGAACGCUGGCGGCAAGCCUAACACAUGCAAGUCGAACGAGUGGCGGACGGGUGAGUAAUGUCUGGGAAACUGCCUGAUGGUGGGGGAUGACUACUGGAAACGGUAGCUAAUACCGCAUAACAUAGGAUGUGCCCAGAUGGGAUUAGCUAGUAGGUGGGGUAAAGGCUCACCUAGGCGACGAUCCCUACCUGGUCUGAGAGGAUGACCAGCGACACGGGAACGGAUACACGGUCCAGACGCCUACGGGAGGCAGCAGUGGGGAAUAUUGCACAAUGGGCGCAAGCCUGAUGCAGCCAUGCCGCGUGUAUGAAGAAGGCCUUCGGGUUGUAAAGUACUUUCAGCGGGGAGGCGUUACCCGCAGAAGAAGCACCGGCUAACUCCGUGCCAGCCGCCGCGGUAAUAC